rnacentral:rRNA from 1 species
CCUGCCCAAGAGAUCGGGAUAACACCUGGAAACAGAUGCUAAUACCGGAUAACAACAGAUGAUGCCUAUCAACUGUUUAAAAGAUGGUUCUGCUAUCACUCUUGGAUGGACCUGCGGUGCAUUAGCUAGUUGGUAGGGUAACGGCCUACCAAGGCGAUGAUGCAUAGCCGAGUUGAGAGACUGAUCGGCCACAUUGGGACUGAGACACGGCCCAAACUCCUACGGAAGGCAGCAGCG